rnacentral:rRNA from 1 species
CCUACGGGAGGCAGCAGUGAGGAAUAUUGGGCAAUGGACGAGAGUCUGAACCAGCCAAGUAGCGUGAAGGAUGACUGCUCUAUGGGUUGUAAACUUCUUUUAUAAAGGAAUAAAACGAGGCACGUGUGCAUUUUUGCAUGUACUUUAUGAAUAAGGAUCGGCUAACUCCGUGCCAGCAGCCGCGGUAAUACGGAGGAUGCGAGCGUUAUCCGGUUUUAUUGGGUUUAAAGGGAGCGUAGAUGGGUUGUUAAGUCAGUUGUGAAAGUUUGCGGCUCAACCGUAAAAUUGCAAUUGAUACUGGCAGUCUUGAGUACAGUAGAGGUAAGCGGAAUUCGUGGUGUAGCGGUGAAAUGCUUAGAUAUCACGAAGAACCCCGAUUGCGAAGGCAGCUUACUAAGCUGUGACUGACAUUGAUGCUCGAAAGUGUGGGUAUCAAACAGGAUUAGAUACCCCUGUAGUC